ensembl:lncRNA CASC22 cancer susceptibility 22
ACCAAGUAGCUCCUGAAACUAGAUCCCAGACCACCACCCAUGAUCCCAGGCUGGAGGAAGCAGCAGGCUAGCGGAAUUCAGGACCAAUGAGCCAGGAAAGAGGACCCAAUGCAGAGCUCACAUCCCACCCUCCUUCCCCCAUGACAAAGCACUGGCAAACCCUGCCAAAGAAGAAGCUUGGCUGCAAAGCAGUCUGGAACUGGACCCGGGAUAGAUUCACCAGGAGCUCACCACCACAGGGAAUGCUGCACUUUGACUGGACAGAAUGCAUCCUCCAUGCCCACAGAGCAUGUGCCCAGGAUGAAUCUCACUGUAUCCCAGUUCCUCAUGCUUGGCCCCAAACCUCUUUUUCACAGUAAUAAAGAAAACACACUUUACAAAAAGGC